CCUACGGGAGGCAGCAGUGGGGAAUAUUGGGCAAUGGACGCAAGUCUGACCCAGCAACGCCGCGUGAAGGAAGAAGGCUUUCGGGUUGUAAACUUCUUUUGUCAGGGAAGAGCAGAAGACGGUACCUGACGAAUAAGCCACGGCUAACUACGUGCCAGCAGCCGCGGUAAUACGUAGGUGGCAAGCGUUGUCCGGAUUUACUGGGUGUAAAGGGCGUGUAGCCGGGGAGACAAGUCAGAUGUGAAAUCUGGAGGCUCAACCUCCAAACUGCAUUUGAAACUGUUUCUCUUGAGUAUCGGAGAGGUAAUCGGAAUUCCUAGUGUAGCGGUGAAAUGCGUAGAUAUUAGGAAGAACACCAGUGGCGAAGGCGGAUUACUGGACGACAACUGACGGUGAGGCGCGAAAGCGUGGGGAGCAAACAGGA
rnacentral:rRNA from 1 species